CCUGUCAUCGUCUAGUGGUUAGGACACCAGGUUCUGAUCAAUCAAUCUCCUGGUAACCCCGGUUCAAACCCGGGUGACAGGU